rnacentral:rRNA from 1 species
ACACGAACCGUCCAAACGUUAUUCGGAAUUACUGGGCUUAAGGGGUGCGUAGGCGGUGCGGUAAGUUGGGUGUGAAAUCCCUCGGCUCAACCGGGGAACUGCGCUCAAUACUGCCGUACUUGAGGGAGACAGGGGUAAGCGGAACUGAUGGUGGAGCGGUGAAAUGCGUUGAUAUCAUCAGGAACACCAGUAGCGAAAGCGGCUUACUGGGUCUCUUCUGACGCUGAGGCACGAAAGCUAGGGUAGCGAACGGGAUUAGAAACCCUAGUAGUCC